rnacentral:rRNA from 1 species
UACGAACUGUGCGAACGUUAUUCGGAAUCACUGGGCUUAAAGAGUUCGUAGGCGGCAUGGAAAGUAGGGUGUGAAAUCCCUCGGCUCAACCGAGGAAUUGCGCUCUAAACUGCCGUGCUAGAGGAAGCUAGAGGUGAGCGGAACUGAUGGUGGAGCGGUGAAAUGCGUUGAUAUCAUCAGGAACACCGGAGGCGAAGGCGGCUCACUGGGGCUUUUCUGACGCUGAGGAACGAAAGCCAGGGUAGCGAACGGG